GACGAACGCUGGCGGCGUGCCUAAUACAUGCAAGUAGAACGCUGAAGCGAGGAGCUUGCUCUUCUUGGAUGAGUUGCGGACGGGUGAGUAACGCGUAGUUAACCUGCCUUUUAGCGGGGGAUAACUGUUGGAAACGAUAGCUAAUACCGCAUAACAAUUGAUGACACAUGGCUUUUAUGUGAAAGGUGCAAUUGCUCUAAUACAACGUGGACCUGCGUUGUAUUAGCUAGUAUGUGAGGUAAUGGCUGACCUAGGCGACAAGACAUAGCCGACCUGCGAGGGGGAGCGGGCCCACUGGGAUGGAGAGACAGCCCAGAACCCUAAGGGAGGCAGCAGUCGGGAGUGUUGGGCAAUGGGGGCAACGCUGACAGAGCGACGCCGCGUGAGUGAAGAAGGUUUCCGGGUCGUAAAGCUCUGUUGUAUGGCAAGAACGGGUGUGAGAGUGGAAAGUUCACGCUGUGACGGUAGCUUAACAGAAAGGGACGGCUAACUACGUG
rnacentral:rRNA from 1 species